GAUGAACGCUGGCGGCGUGCCUAAUACAUGCAAGUCGAGCGAACGGACGAGAAGCUUGCUUCUCUGAUGUUAGCGGCGGACGGGUGAGUAACACGUGGAUAACCUACCUAUAAGAUUGGGAUAACUUCGGGAAACCGGAGCUAAUACCGGAUAAUAUUUUGAACCGCAUGGUUCAAAAGUGAAAGACGGUCUUGCUGUCACUUAUAGAUGGAUCCGCGCUGCAUUAGCUAGUUGGUAAGGUAACGGCUUACCAAGGCAACGAUGCAUAGCCGACCUGAGAGGGUGAUCGGCCACACUGGGACUGAGACACGGUCCAGACUCCUACGGGAGGCAGCAGUAGGGAAUCUUCCGCAAUGGGCGAAAGCCUGACGGAGCAACGCCGCGUGAGUGAUGAAGGUCUUCGGAUCGUAAAACUCUGUUAUUAGGGAAGAACAUAUGUGUAAGUAACUGUGCACAUCUUGACGGUACCUAAUCAGAAAGCCACGGCUAACUACGUG
rnacentral:rRNA from 1 species